GGUAGCAGUGGCCUCUCUUGGCUAACCCUAUUCCUAGAAUCCUGAGCUGGGUCAAGCCAGGUUUGGAGUCACUUUGGCCUCUGCUUGCAGACUCCCUCAGGCGCCACCCAGAUGAGAUUCAGUCUGGGAGCAGCUUCCCUGCAGCACCCAACUAUGAGGAGCUGAACCAGAACCUGCAGCCACAGGACUGGCCACCAGAGCCCCCCGCUGUGCUUGCUCCAACCUGGCAGACAGAAGGUAUCUCAUCUGGCUUAUCCACGGAGGCCAAUUACUGUAACAGUGGCAACACCACCCAGCUGCCCUGGAGCACCCCAACCCUGCCAGCUGCUGGGAGCCACCUCCUGCUAGCCCUGCCUGCCCAAGGCACCAGUGGAUCCCAGAUCUCCUUCCAAGCAGGAACUGACAAUGCCGACAGCUCCAGCACAUCAUCCGGAGAAUGGUAUGAAAACAUCCAAGGGAAGGAGCAUGAGGGAGCCCAGAUUGGACAUGCACCCUCCUUCCCUGCGUGGACAGCCCACUCCACACCGUCAGGCAACCAUAUACCUGGGGGUGACUCUUCCUCAACUGACAGUGAUUACGAUGACAUCCAGACCACCACGUACUAAGGUGGGGGGGUGAGGAGGCACUGCAGAUCUGGGGCCUCUUUCUCAACCUUUCUGUCAUGCCUACUGUCUUCCCUGAACUCAGCAAAGGCCAACUUUUCAUGGAUCCACUCAUCCGUGAGAUGGUCUCAAAAAAAGUAGGCCAGGAAACUCUUGGAGGAUUGAAAGAAGAUCCCAGAUCCCAGAACCGGUUCUGAGUGAGCCAACACGUCCCAGAGCCAUCUCCAAAUGGGUCAUCUCCAAAAGUUCCCAGCUUCAGCCACCAAAUCCCAGAACCAGCCAUGAAUGUGCCAACAGACCCAUGAACCAAUACAGAAUGGCCUGGCACAUGCUAGAAUGGAUCAGCUGGUCCCACUCCAAUCCCCUCAAGAUCCAAAAGGGGCUUCACACCCCCACUGAUUGGUGUUUCUGACUGAACUAGCUGGAGAAAGCAGCUUAGCUCUCUCCCACCCUUGCUUUCCUCAAGUCCCUGCCCGGGGCUUUCUGCUGGCGUUGAACCAGCACCAGCCAUUCAGGAACUUGUGUCUGUAAAUGAGUCCUCUGUGGAGGGCUCUCCCCAGCUUUUUGGGGGCAGGCUGGGCUUUGUGGGCUGUAUUCACAUCUAGGAGAGGCACUUGGAAACCCUGGUGAUAGACACAGCGGAGGCCUACCUGGAGCCCUCAGGACAUAACUAGAAGGCUUCACUCCUCUUUUAAAUGGAGUGGGACAAUGAGCCUGGACCUGGCUGCAAUAGCCCAGUGCUCAAUGUGUAGCCAAGGGCUGGGGGGCCUUGGUUGAAAUCCAGGGGAUAAGUUCUCCUCCAUGGGCAGAAGUGUAGGGAGGGGGUGGGACAAUUGUGCUGCUGCACUGGGCCCUGAUGAUAGGUGUUUUACUGGUGGAGUGUCUAGGGACAGUUUUGUCGCAGUGACAAGGCCUCUCACUCUUGACAUAUGAAUUUCCUCCCUGACUUUGCAGGCACCUGAGGUCAGCGUGGCUGAGUCACUUUACAAACACUCCCCCCCCAACCCCCCAGCACCUCUUCAUUCAGUCAUGGAGAGCAGACUGACAGCUCACCUCCUGGUGACACAUGAGCCCCCAUUGACUGAGGGGCUCUGAGGUCAUGGAUUCAUUGGUCUGGUAGGGAACCUCAAGUCCAUCCCUGCACAGAGAUGCAGAGCUAAUGGCAGCUACCACUUCCAUAGCACCCUGACUUCGCAACGGCAUUGAUGUGAAGCGACUUGCUUGAGUUCUCCCAGGAAGCAACUGGCAGAGCUAAGACUAUACACCAGUCUUCUGAAUCCCACCCGUAUUUGUUCCACUGCUCCAUGGACAUUUGGAUCUUGCAAUACUCCCUUCCUCACAGAGGAGUGGUUGAGUAACAAGUGAGAGCUGGGUUGAGGCCUGUUGGCAAUGGCAGGCAAUGUACUGCUACUGCCAUUACUGAACCCAGCACCAAAGCUCUCCACACAAAGGCCUUUCCCUGGAAAGAGGGUGUUGAGUCCAGGCCCCAGCAGAGGCAGCAUCCUCUCAGGCGGAUCAGGCUUUAGCACCGGCGUGCCAGGGACAUGGCUUCUUUCCCAUACAAAGAAAAGGUGAAAAUGGGUGGGGAUGGAGAAAUCACUUUCAUCAACAUUCUUCUUUGGGGAGGGGAAUUGGAACCUAGGUCUUUUUCAACCCAGAACAUUUCAACCCAACCAGAUGCUCUGAGGUUGGGAAUGCUGGUCAAAAUCCCCCUUUUUCAUGCUAAAAAGAAAUGUGAUGGAAGAGCCCUGCUCUGUGAACAUCCACAGUAACAAUUGUGACCCACGGGCCUAAUCCUUCCUCACUGCCAAGCCUGCCUGUCCCUGUGCAUUCUGGAGUGCUCUAGGAACAGAGUCCUGCCUCUGGGCAGGGCUCAGACUUUAAGGUCCCUUCCAGCCCUGUGAUUCUUUGAUUCAUACCAUAUGCCCUGUGGGUGCCUGCCAAUCCUCAUGGUGACCCUACCUGGUAGGUGGGAAUUAUACAGGAGGAAACCCAGGCACAGGUAGAUAAAGUAACUUGUCAAAGGCCACACAGCAAAUCCUUGCAGCCACCCACCAAGCUCCCAGCCUCUACCCCACACUCAUUCCUCCUGACCCCUCUAGCUGUGCCUGAGAUUCUGCUCCUAGACCUGGCUCAGGGGUAUUUAUUUAGUCGUCAGAUGCCUGCACUCUGGUGGUGGGGCCCUGAACCAGAACCUCGGCAUCUAGCGCAUGACCUCGAGGGGCCAGAUUGGAGUGGGUGGCAAUAAUGAAUGUAUCUUCCAGGACCUGAGAGUACAUAUGACCUGGCAGAAGCAGAGAGGUGUUGGGUUGGAAUGUAUUCCCACUCUCAGCGGCUCAGGCAGCUGCACUUUGUACCAAGCUAAGCAUGUUGUGAGAUUAAAAGCUUUAAUAUCAAAGGGGUUGGGGGAAAAAUCUGUUCAUUGAAGGUCUGAGAUGGUGUCUUUGGACAGCGCAAGCUUUGCAGUGGUGCUCCUGAGCACAGCACAGGAGUGGUGAAAAUGGUCCCUGGAUCUUGAGGUGGAGAACCUAGU